UGGGGAAUAUUGCACAAUGGGCGCAAGCCUGAUGCAGCCAUGCCGCGUGUAUGAAGAAGGCCUUCGGGUUGUAAAGUACUUUCAGUCGGGAGGAAGGUGUUAAGGUUAAUAACCUUGGCAAUUGACGUUACCGACAGAAGAAGCACCGGCUAACUCCGUGCCAGCAGCCGCGGUAAUACGGAGGGUGCAAGCGUUAAUCGGAAUUACUGGGCGUAAAGCGCACGCAGGCGGUUGAUUGAGUCAGAUGUGAAAUCCCCGGGCUUAACCCGGGAAUUACAUCUGAUACUGGUCAGCUAGAGUCUUGUAGAGGGGGGUAGAAUUCCAUGUGUAGCGGUGAAAUGCGUAGAGAUGUGGAGGAAUACCGGUGGCGAAGGCGGCCCCCUGGACAAAGACUGACGCUCAGGUGCGAAAGCGUGGGGGGCAAACA
rnacentral:rRNA from 1 species